UGGGGAAUUUUGGACAAUGGGCGCAAGCCUGAUCCAGCAAUGCCGCGUGAGUGAAGAAGGCCUUCGGGUUGUAAAGCUCUUUUGUCAGGGAAGAAACGGUGAGUCCUAAUAUGGCUUGCUAAUGACGGUACCUGAAGAAUAAGCACCGGCUAACUACGUGCCAGCAGCCGCGGUAAUACGUAGGGUGCAAGCGUUAAUCGGAAUUACUGGGCGUAAAGCGUGCGCAGGCGGUUAUAUAAGACAGUCGUGAAAUCCCCGGGCUCAACCUGGGAACUGCGAUUGUGACUGUAUGGCUAGAGUGUGUCAGAGGGGGGUAGAAUUCCACGUGUAGCAGUGAAAUGCGUAGAUAUGUGGAGGAAUACCGAUGGCGAAGGCAGCCCCCUGGGAUAACACUGACGCUCAUGCACGAAAGCGUGGGGAGCAAACA
rnacentral:rRNA from 1 species